rnacentral:lncRNA from 1 species
UGCAAUGUGAAUAUAAAAGACGUCUUCCAAUUUUCAUUUUGGACAUAACGAGCUUUCCUCUUUCCUUCUUCUCUCUUUCUAAGAAAUUAGCCACAUCACAACCUCAAGAAAAUUACACCAUCAACAAUAUUCUUAUUAAUUAGUAGCAACAGCACAAGUUGUUCUCCCAAAAAUAUUAAUUAGAGGGAAGAACAAAAGAAACCUGAAGAAGAAAAUAUGGGAAAUUGCUGGCCUAAAUCUGUAGAUAAUCUUCCUAGCUCUAACAAAUUUUCUAGCCCUCCUCCAGGUAUAUAGUAUAUAUGGCGGAGAAGGAGGAUUUGGAACUGUAUUUAAAGGAUUUGGAACUGUAUUUAAAGUUGGAGUUGGAAUUCCAGUUGCUGUUAAAAAAUCAAAUCCUAUAUUGAAAAAGGUCUCAAGGAAUGGCAGGUUUCUUGUUAUUUUCCUUGCUUUAAUUUCCAAUGUAUUUGAAUUUAUUGGUCCGACUACUUAGCAGCAUCAUCAGAUUUUCAACGAAUUGUUAAAUCCUAUUAUAAAUUUUGCCUUUAAAACUAGUCAGAUAAGUUUAUGCUAUUUAGACAAAUAGAUUAACGGGAGAUAUAAUUAUUUUUUGAAAAGGACAUUUACGCAAAUGCUCCUUUAUUAUUAGGGCUUAAUUCAGACUUCUGGUUAAUGUUGGAGAUAUCUAUUACUCGGUAAAAAAAUUACUAUUACUGAUUAUUUUUAUUAAAUCAAUACAUGCUGUAAGAUAUAUGGACUUAUAUCUACAUACAUAUGAACCAUAUAUGGAUAAAUUAUAUGUUAU